rnacentral:misc_RNA from 1 species
AAAUAUCAUAAGGCAUGCAUUAUUUGAAAUGAUAUCAUUCCAAUAAAGAUCAAUCCAUCACGUUGGGAGGCUAGAAAAUGCAACUAUGCGAGGCAGCUGCUUUAUCAUAGAGAUUGCUGUUAGGGUUUUGGAUCCCUAACAAGAGAAAUUAGGAGAAUAGAAGAAAGAAGAAGUAACUGAGAGAGAAGAAGUAAGAAAGAGGAUCGGAAGAAAGAAGAAUUAGGGAGAAAAUUAGAGAGAAAAAGAAGAAUAUUAUUUCUGAAAUUUCAGUUAUGCAAUUACAAAGUAACUCCCCAGUUUUAUACACAUUAGCAGUUGUAACUGCUUAUUUAAUCAGUUCCAGCUGUUUUCUAAUCAAUUCCAGCUAUUUACUAAUCAAUUCCAGCUGUUUAUUGACUUCUAUAACUGUCAUCAGCUACUCUCCCUCAGUUACAUCAGCCUUUCCCUCCUUUUUAUUCCUAAACUUCUUCCUAUAAUAUGUAACAAUUUUCUCUUGAUCUUUUGAGAAAAAGUUCCUAUAUCACUGAAUUUAGAUAUCACUGAAUUUACUGAGGCACCAACAUAUGACUGCUUUUAAUUGUUAUUGUGGUGGUGGUUGUUAAAUUUGUUCUUUACCUUUUCUGUUCCUGUUUUGCUUGUGUCUCUCAGUGUAAGGGCAAUAGUUGCUUUGAACCUUCACAAUUAUGGAAGCGGAAGAAAUCCAUGGGGCAGUCCGAAUCCAGAGUAUUUGGAAAAGAGGGGGUUUGUUGAGGCCCAUGCUGAUGAUGGUCUCCUAGAAAUUUUUGGUUUAAAGCAAGGAUGGCAUGCAUCUUUUGUAAUGGUUGAACUCAUAUCUGCUAAACACAUAGCCCAGGCUGCGGCAAUUCGAUUGGAAAUAAGGGGUGGAGAAUGGAAAGAUGCGUACAUGCAGAUGGAUGGUGAACCCUGGAAACAGCCAAUGAGCAAGGAGUACUCUUCAUUUGUGGAAAUUAAGAGGGUGCCUUUUCAGUCCCUUAUGAUCAGUGGAGAGUAACUUGCUGGUUUGCCCACUAGCCCUUGAUUCAAGUGUGGCGUCACUAGGUUUAUUGCUUUCUCAACCAAGAUGAGUGAUCACUGAUCAGUGUAAAGUAUGGUUUUCUCCCCAGGGGCUUGUAAAUUAUAGUUAUCUGCUAGGUUAGUAGCUGAUGGGUAUUUGUUGUAUCAAAUUUCAUUUGAUUGCCAGUUCUUCAUUUCGUUUUUUGGUUCACUUGUUGGAGGAAUGUUUAAUUACCAGGCUUUGCGAGUGCUUAAAUAAAUGAUUCCACAAGGAAAAAUGGGUCUUAUAGAAUUUAAAUUUGUAGCAGUGAAUUCAUUAACAGUAAUUAUUGACUGGUGAUUAGUAAUACUGUUUGACAGUUUUUAGGCGUCCAUUUACGGUUCAUAAACAGCUUUGGAGCAUGCUUGUAAUACAAUGCAAUAAAAUAAGAAUAAGAUUUUUGUAUUAUAAUUUACAACACUUGCUAAUCUACUAAAAGCAUUGCUUAAUUCUUGUCAUUUGAGGAAAUGAAAGGAUAAAUAGAAUUUUAAACAUUUGUAAAGAAUAAGAUUUUAAUAAUAGCCUAGGAUGAAUUUCCUAAACCCUUUUGCCUACGCUUGUUCCGAGGAUGAGGGGUAUAUGCAUAACUGUGGGUGGGAGAGUUAUGGAAAAAAGAGGGGAAGAGUAUAUGUUUUUUUAAAUAUUAUACUGCCAAACUGGUUCAAGAAGUCCACAUGCGAAUGGAUACUAUGAGGGGGUGUGCAUUGAUUAAUUGAAAUGUAAAAAUAUGAGAAUUGAAUUGAUGUUACGAGAAUCAAAUUGAGUGAUUAUUUUGAUUUAGUUUGAUUUUUAAGUUUUAAAAUUCCUUGGACUUUGUUUUUUAUCUACAAAUUUUUUUCCUUUUCAUUCCUUUUAGGGAAAGCUUUUAUUUAUUCUUUGUAUUUUGUGUUUUGAUGAAAUCAAUUAUUAGAUUCUUGUAUUUUAA